CUAAACCCUUCCCAGAGUAUCAAUUGGAGGGCAAGUCUGGUGCCAGCAGCCGCGGUAAUUCCAGCUCCAAUAGCGUAUAUUAAAGUUGUUGCAGUUAAGAAGCUCGUAGUUGAAUUUCUGCCUUGUCAUUAAUCUCGCUUCCGAGCGUUUUUUUAUUGACUUGGCAUCUUCUGGAUUUGGUGCCUUCGGGUACUAUUUUCCAGGAUUUACUUUGAGAAAACUAGAGUGUUUCAAACAGGCAUUUGCCUUGAAUACUACAGCAUGGAAUAAUGAAGUAGGACUU
rnacentral:rRNA from 1 species